GAGAUACCACCGGUAUAUAAGCCGCCGUUUGAGAAGCCGCCAAUUUACCAUCCGCCAGUAGAGAUACCGCCAAUAUACAAACCACCAGUAGAGAUACCUCCGAUUUAUAAGCCACCAUAUGAAAACCCUCCAAUUUAUAAGCCACCAAUUGAGCAACCUCCAGUGUACAAACCACCAGUAGAGGAACCUCCGGUUUACAAGCCGCCAGUCGAGAAGCCUCCAAUUUACAAGCCACCAGUUGAGCAACCACCUAUAUACAAACCACCAGUUGAGAAGCCUCCAGUUUACAAACCACCAGUUGAGAAGCCUCCGGUUUACAAACCACCAGUUGAGAAGCCACCUGUAUACAAACCACCAGUUGAGAAGCCUCCGGUUUACAAACCACCAGUUGAGAAGCCACCUGUAUACAAACCACCUGUUGAGAAGCCUCCAGUUUACAAACCACCAGUUGAGAAGCCUCCGGUCUACAAACCACCAGUUGAGAAGCCACCUGUAUACAAACCACCAGUUGAGAAGCCUCCAGUUUACAAACCACCAGUACACCAGUUGAGAAGCCACCUGUAUACAAACCACCAGUUGAGAAGCCUCCAGUUUACAAACCACCAGUUGAGAAGCCUCCGGUCUACAAACCACCAGUUGAGAAGCCACCUGUAUACAAACCACCAGUUGAGAAGCCUCCAGUUUACAAACCACCAGUUGAGAAGCCUCCGGUUUACAAACCACCAGUUGAGAAGCCACCUGUAUACAAACCACCUGUUGAGAAGCCUCCAGUUUACAAGCCACCAGUCGAAAAACCACCGGUUUAUAAGCCACCAGUUGAGCAACCACCUGUAUAUAAACCACCAGUUGAGAAGCCUCCAGUUUACAAACAUCCAGUAGAAAAACCACCUGUUUACAAGCCACCAGUAGAGAAGCCUCCAGUUUAUAAGCCACCAGUAGAGAAACCACCUAUCUAUAAGCCACCAGUAGAAAAGCCUCCUGUCUACAAGCCACCAGUCGAAAAGCCACCCGUGUAUAAGCCACCGGUUGAAAAACCUCCAAUUUACAAACCACCUGUAUACCAGCCCCCGGUUGAAAAUCCCCCAAUUUACAAACCACCUAUAGAAAAGCCAC
rnacentral:lncRNA from 1 species